GACGGAGGGGGCUAGCGUUGUUCGGAAUCAUUGGGCGUAAAGGGCGCGUAGGCGGCGCAGUUGGUCAGGCGUGAAAUCCCCGGGCUCAACCCAGGGACUGCGCUUGAUACGGCUGUGCUCGAGGAUGGAAGAGGGCCGCGGAAUUCCCAGUGUAGAGGUGAAAUUCGUAGAUAUUGGGAAGAACACCGGUGGCGAAGGCGGCGGCCUGGACCGGCAUUGACGCUGAGGAGCGAAAGCCAGGGGAGCAAACGGG
rnacentral:rRNA from 1 species